CCCUUAGACGCUCUAGGCGGCACGCGCGCUACAAUGGGCGGUAGAACGUGUAACUGCUCCCGAAAGGGAGGGUGAACCACGAAUACUUACCCGUGAAUGGGAUAGUUUGUUGCAAUUUUCGGACUUGAACUAGGAAUCCCUUGUAAGAAUGCUCAAGAAUAGCGUGCUGAAUACGUCCCUGCCGUUUGUACACACCGCCCGUCGUUUCUUCCGACUGAUACUCAUUGUGAGUUGCAAGGAUUCUUAUUGAAAAAUUGCUGCGAAUGCUUUGUAUUGGAGGAAGAAAAAGUCGUAACA
rnacentral:rRNA from 1 species